rnacentral:lncRNA from 12 species
CUUUAGAGGAAUGUCUUAAGUGAUUUUUCAUGGAAAAUUGACUAUGGCUUACACACUGGAUUUAGAACCUCCAUAUAUCAUGUGGCUCAAGUCCAUUUGCCUUUGUUUUAAUAUAAAUUCUUUCUAGUGGGAAUGUAAAAUGGUGGAAUCACUUUGGAAAAGCUUGGCAGUUUCUUAUAAAAUUAAACAUAGCCUUAACUUGAGACCUGGAAACACACAAAGACUUGCUCACAAAUGUUCAAGGUGGCUUUAUUCAUAAUGGUCCAAACAUGAAACAACUUAAAUGUUCAUUAGUAAGAGAAUGUUCUUAAGAAUUCUGCUACAUUUCGGGUGCCUGAGUGGCUCAGUCAGUUAAGCGUCCACUCUUGAUUUCGGCUCAGGUCAUGAUCUCAGGGUUGUGAGAUCAAGCCCACAUUGAGCUCCCACACCGGGCAUGGAGCCUGCUUAAGAUUCUCUUUCCCUCUCCCUCUGCCCCUUCACCCCCUCUCCAAAAAUUCUGCUAUGUUUAUACAAUGAAAUACUAUCUAACAAUGAGAAGGGAUAAACUGAUGCAUAAAACAACAUGGAUGAAUCUUAAGCCAUUUUGCUAAGCAAGAGAAGCCAGACACAAAAAGGAAAUACUCCAUGAUUCCAUUUAUAUGAACCCCUGAAAAAAGACAAAUCUAACUUGUAGUGACAGAAAGCAGAUCAGUGGUUUCCUAGGGCUAGAACGAGUAUUAACUGUGAAAGGACAUAAGGAAAAUAUGGAAGAUGAUGAAAAUGUUCUAUUUCUUGAUUGUGGUGGUGUUUAUAUAGGUGUAUACAUUUGCUAAAACUCGUGAACUGUGUGCUUAAAUUUUUUUUUACAUUGCUUCUAUCUCACAGGUCGGUUGUAAAGCUGGAAAGCAGUUUCCAAAUUAAAAAUACACAAUAUUUAAAGUACUUACCAUCAAGACUGAUGCCUUUGAAAGAUAUGCUAUGCUUAUCCCCGUGGCCCACACGCUGCUGGCAUCCCACAGCCUUUCCCUGUUUCAGAAACACGGACCUGGUGCUUACCUGUCUUUUCUCAAGUGAUAAAACCAAUGGCCAAGACUUUCCUGCAAAAGCCAGUCGACGGUGAGGCAAAUGGCAACCAUGAGCCGGCUGCAGAUUACAGCCAGAGUAGUGCUUGACAUUCUUUCUUGGAUGCCCAGCUGCCCUGCACGCCAAUUUCAUGUGCUUGAAUGAAGUUUUAUAAAAUCUGGUGCCCUUUCCUUUCCCUGAGUUUAUUAAGUCUAAGGAUGCAUAAGCAUCGGUGUGCAUUUGUGUGUGUUCUAGUGUGUGUAUAUGGGUUUGGAUGAGGAAUGACUUCAAGGUUGUGUGAAAAAGAAGGGUAGGUCUGCAUAAAAUAAUAGUCACCAUGAAACAUCAGAAGCCCCGAGGGUGGAAGGAUGCUAUUUGUAUCAGUUGGCUUUUGGUAUGUAACAAAUCAAUCCCAAAUUUAGUGGCUUAAAGCAGCAAUCAUUUUUCUGCUUACGAUUUUGUGGCUUCUGCUUUGAGUUGGUUCAGCUGGGACUGAAUGG